AAAACAAACCCAAACACGAAAUGUGAAUGCACGCUCAUGGUCCAUUGAAUCGCUUAAUAAGUUGUGGGCAGGGCGAAAAAGUCCCUGUGUUGUAUAAGUAAUCUACAGGAGCUUUACUGGCUCUUGAUUCGCAAUGAUUCUCGUCAAACAAUCCCGCCAGUGUUUUCUUUCCUGUGUUUUUCUCUUGUGUUUCAUACAUUGUGGACUCUGUUGCAAAGGUUCUGUGUUCCUUAACUCUCUAAGUAUUAUUUCGGAAUGCAGAAAUCAGAUGGUUGAUAUACUUUCAAUAAUGUGCGGGUUUCCCUCCUUUAUGGACUUUUUUCCCGCCGGUGAUGCCUCUUCUUCUCAACAUUUAACAAUGGACGAUUUAGAGUGUGAGUGCUGCUUUCGAUCUUGUUUUCCCAGUGACUUUACCAAAUACUGCCAUUUAUAUAAAAAGUGAAACUUUUCAGUGAACAAGAUUCGGAGAGGAACAGAAUUUGUUGUAAAUUCCUGAAUUUAUAUAACCUUCCGACGGUGAUUGUUGAACUUUUAAUGAUAUUGUUAAGUUUUACUUAUAAAAUGUAUUUUAAAAUAA